CCCCCCCCCCCCCCCCCCCGCCCGCCAAAGCGGCCACCACCAUCUCUCCCACCACUCCUCCCUCCACCGCUUCGGCCUGCGCCUCUGCCACUACCCCAGGCAUCACGGUUAUCACUCCUUGGUGGUUUUGCCUCUUCAACAGUUAAGUACUGAUCUCCAAGUUGACUGCCACUAAGCUCUAAAGCUUUGUUGAAACCAUCAGCAUCCUUGAAUUCCAAGUAAGCCAUCCCCUUAAUAGCACCAGUCUCAUAAUCUGUUGGGAUAGAUAUUCUAGUAACCUCUCCACAAGCUUCAAAAUGCUCCCCAAGGGCACUCCUAAUCUGAUCCUCACCACGGGACUUAUCAAACCCCCUGACAAAUAUCUUCUGAGCCUGGCC
rnacentral:misc_RNA from 1 species